AUCAUGUGGCACUGCCCCACAGGGACGUCAGUGUCCACUCUGGCCCUGGGGCCUCAUUAGCACAGCGAGACUAGACCCAGACACAUCUCAGGGGCCUCGGCUUCCACUGCCUGCAAUGCCAGGAUACGCUGAUCUGUGAAUCCUUGGAAUCUCCUUCGGGAAAUGACCCACUCAAAGGGAGGAUUUGUCAUCCUGGUGCAUUGUAUACAUCUCAUCCAACUUCCAGACAAGCCGUAAUUCUCAUGGGCCACGUGAUAGAUCGCCCUCCCCGCGGCUGAUAAGGAGGCUCUCUGAGGUCAGACGGGCCCUUGGGCUCCCGGGCAGGAGCACCCGGCCUCCCAGCUCCAGAAGCUGCGCCUCCUCCAGCUCGCCUGCCCCCACGCUGCCCAGUGACUCUCAGGAGGAGAGGAGCUGAUGUUCCUGCACCCAUGAUGAGGAAAUCAAGACUCGGAAUGUCCUGGUCCCUUUCCACAAGGCCUCGCCUUAUCCGCUCCCACAAAGGGCUUACCUCUUCAGGAGGAUCUGGCCCCAUGGUCAGAGAAGUGAGUGAAUAUCAGCUGUGGGGCACCCAGAGCAGUUGCCAUCUUCUGCUCUGUCUAGCCUGGGAGUCCUGGAAGGAGACUGCAGCCUGAGUGCCUCCCGAGCCAGCUCCUCUCCAGGACAUCACCUUGGCCCCUGGGUGUCCCAACAGACAGUCAGCACACAAAGGCAGGUGACAUGCGGACGUCCCUUUACCUGGCCCCUGUGUGGGAGGGGAGGUGAGGGGCAUUUAUUUGACAUUUACCCGGGGUCUGCCUUGGCCCGCCGCACAGCUGCCCUGUUCAGAGGCGGGGCCCCAGUACACUCCAGGGUGAAUGGCUGCUGAGUCUCGCCCUCUGCUCUGUACUGGACCAUUGAGCCCAGAUGGCACUGGCCAUGACAACCUUGGCCCAGGCACUUAGAGACACGACUCUUCCAGCCACAGGGAUGGCAACAAAGAGGCAAGACCUCCCUGGAGCUCACGGAGAGGCCUGGUCUUUCCACCUCACAGCUCUGUCCUCCUGCAGAGGCCCCUCUUCCCACUCCUGUCCCCUCCUCAUGCUGCUUCUCACACUGGAACAAUCUUGUCCAUUAGUUGUCAUAGCAACUGAGGCAGGGCGAAGUCAUCCUCUAGAAGGGGCCCUGUGCAAAUUAUGGCAUUACACCAACUUAUUGCCAAUCUUUUUAAUUAAAACAUUUUGCUUUCAACUCGGCUAAUGGCAGAGAUCAGUAAACAGGGGGAGAUUGAAUUACCGAUAUUGAAGCUCCCCCAGCUCUUAAAAGGCUUAAUUACUGGUGGGACCACAGAGAGGCAAGGAGGGGCUGCCAGCGAGCAGGUGGGCCUGACCCACCAGGGCCGCGUGAAGGUGAUCAAAUGGAGCUCCGGCAUUAAAAAAUUUUAAACUCUUGAAGGACAGAAUGAGCUACUAGAAUUGUGGCUACAGUUCUGUUUCCAGGAACUAUGACGUCAUGUUGCUGGCUGCUGAAUUUCUGUUUAAUUAAAUUGCCUAUUUGACACCUGGAGGCAGAACUGGGUGUUCAUGGUGUGGCUGACUGAUAAGCCAGGACUCCACUUGCCCCAGAGACCCAGCCUCUUACCCAGGAGGGGAGAAGUAGGGGGAAUGCUGCCC
rnacentral:lncRNA from 1 species